AAUGAACGUUGGCGGCGUGGAUUAGGCAUGCAAGUCGAGCGAGAAGGAUCCGGUGCUUGCAUUGGAUCUGGAAAGCGGCGAAAGGGAGAGUAACGCGUAGGGUAUCUGCCCCCAGGCCUGGGAUAGCGGCGGGAAACUGCCGGUAAUACCGGAUAAUGUCUCCGGACCAAAGGUGAGAUUCCGCCUGGGGAUGGCCCUGCGUCCUAUUAGCUUGUUGGUGAGGUAAUGGCUCACCAAGGCAAAGAUGGGUAGCGGGCGUGAGAGCGUGGCCCGUCUCACUGGGACUGAGACACUGCCCAGACACCUACGGGUGGCUGCAGUCGAGAAUCUUCCGCAAUGGACGAAAGUCUGACGGAGCGACGCCGCGUGCGGGAUGAAGGCCUUCGGGUUGUAAACCGCUGUCAGUGGGGUGGAAAUCUUUGAGGGCUAUCCCUCUUAGUUGACCUAACCGCAGAGGAAGUCCGGGCUAAGUACGUG
rnacentral:rRNA from 1 species